rnacentral:rRNA from 1 species
GAUGAACGCUGGCGGCGUGCCUAAUACAUGCAAGUCGAGCGAAUGGAUUAAGAGCUUGCUCUUAUGAAGUUAGCGGCGGAUGGGUGAGUAACACGUGGGUAACCUGCCCAUAAGACUGGGAUAACUCCGGGAAACCGGGGCUAAUACCGGAUAACAUUUUGAACCGCAUGGUUCGAAACUGAAAGGCGGCUUCGGCUGUCACUUAUGGAUGGACCCGCGUCGCAUUAGCUAGUUGGUGAGGUAACGGCUCACCAAGGCAACGAUGCGUAGCCGACCUGAGAGGGGGAUCGGCCACACUGGGACUGAGACACGGCCCAGACUCCUACGGGAGGUAGCAGUAGGGAAUCUUCCGCAAUGGACGAAAGUCUGACGGAGCAACGCCGCGUGAGUGAUGAAGGCUUUCGGGUCGUAAAACUCUGUUGUUAGGGAAGAACAAGUGCUAGUUGAAUAAGCUGGCACCUUGACGGUACCUAACCAGAAAGCCACGGCUAACUACGUGCCAGCCGCCGCGGUAA